GAUGAACGCUGGCGGCGUGCUUAAUACAUGCAAGUCGAACGAAGAGCCUUUGUAGCAAUACGAGGGUUUCUUAGUGGCGAACGGGUGCGUAACGCGUUGGUGACCUGCCCCGAAGUGUGGGAUAACAGUUCGAAAGGACUGCUAAUACCGCAUGUGGACACGAGGGUUAGAGGCUUUGUGUCUAAAGCAGUAAUGCGCUUUGGGAGGGACCUGCGUCCCAUCAGUUAGUUGGUAGGGUAACGGCCUACCAAGGCUACGACGGGUAGGGGACCUGAGAGGGUGGCCCCCCACAAUGGAACUGAAACACGGUCCAUACACCUACGGGAGGCUG
rnacentral:rRNA from 1 species